GGGCCAGACUCCUACGGGAGGCAGCAGUGGGGAAUAUUGCACAAUGGGGGAAACCCUGAUGCAGCGACGCCGCGUGAAGGAUGAAGUAUUUCGGUAUGUAAACUUCUAUCAGCAGGGAAGAAAAUGACGGUACCUGACCAAGAAGCCCCGGCUAACUACGUGCCAGCAGCCGCGGUAAUACGUAGGGGGCAAGCGUUAUCCGGAUUUACUGGGUGUAAAGGGAGCGUAGACGGCAGUGCAAGUCUGGAGUGAAAGGCGGGGGCUCAACCCCCGGACUGCUCUGGAAACUGUACGGCUGGAGUGCAGGAGAGGUAAGUGGAAUUCCUAGUGUAGCGGUGAAAUGCGUAGAUAUUAGGAGGAACACCAGUGGCGAAGGCGGCUUACUGGACUGUAACUGACGUUGAGGCUCGAAAGCGUGGGGAGCAAACAGGAUUAGAUACCCUGGUA
rnacentral:rRNA from 1 species